UUCACAGUUUGUAAUAAAUAUAUUAAAUGUGCACAAGAAUCUGAACUGUAAUUUCAUGUACAUAAUUUAAAAUUGCACUAACAUUUGCAAAUACAUGAAGAACAG